GUAGGGAAUCUUGCGCAAUGGGCGAAAGCCUGACGCAGCCAUGCCGCGUGAAUGAUGAAGGUCUUAGGAUUGUAAAAUUCUUUCACCGGGGACGAUAAUGACGGUACCCGGAGAAGAAGCCCCGGCUAACUUCGUGCCAGCAGCCGCGGUAAUACGAAGGGGGCUAGCGUUGCUCGGAAUUACUGGGCGUAAAGGGAGCGUAGGCGGAUAGUUUAGUCAGAGGUGAAAGCCCAGGGCUCAACCUUGGAAUUGCCUUUGAUACUGGCUAUCUUGGGUAUGGAAGAGGUAUGGGGAACUCCGGGUGUAGAGGUGAAAUUCGUAGAUAUUCGGAAGAACACCAGUGGCGAAGGCGACAUACUGGUCCAUUACUGACGCUGAGGCUCGAAAGCGUGGGGAGCAAACAGGAUUAGAUACCCUAGUAGUCC
rnacentral:rRNA from 1 species